CAGCACAGGAGAGCUUGCUCUCUGGGUGGCGAGUGGCGGACGGGUGAGGAAUACAUCGGAAUCUACUCUGUCCUGGGGGAUAACGUAGGGAAACUUACGCUAAUACCGCAUACGACCUACGGGUGAAGCAGGGGACCUUCGGGCCUUGGCGAUUGAAUGAGCCGAUGUCGGAUUAGCUAGUGGGCGGGGUAAAGGCCCACCAAGGCGACGAUCCGUAGCUGGUCUGAGAGGAUGAUCAGCCACACUGGAACUGAGACACGGUCCAGACUCCUACGGGAGGCAGCAGUGGGGAAUAUGGACAAUGGGCGCAAGCCUGAUCCAGCCAUACCGCGUGGGUGAAGAAGGCCUUCGGGGUGUAAAGCCCUUUUGUUGGGAAAGAAAUCCAGCUGGCUAAUACCCGGUUGGGAUGACGGUACCCAAAGAAUAAGCACCGGGUAACUUCGUGCCAGCAGCCGCGGUAAUACGAAGGGUGCAAGCGUUACUCGGAAUUACUGGGCGUAAAGCGUGCGUAGGUGGUCGUUUAAGUCCGUUGUGAAAGCCCUGGUCUCAACCUGGGAACUGCAGUGGAUACUG
rnacentral:rRNA from 1 species